GGCCGUGUGCCCGAGUGGCCUAAGGGAGCGGAUUGCAAAUCCGUUGGGCUUGUCCCAUCGUGGGUUCGAAUCCCACCGCGGCCU
rnacentral:tRNA from 1 species